rnacentral:lncRNA from 1 species
AUGGCCUACCUGAAGAUGAGAACUAGUCGGUUGAACUUGAAUUUCUGAUGCAUCGAAUCUCUGCUGCUGUUGGUGCUCUAGCUGCUGCACCUGUAAUAGUUGCUGCUGUUGGUGCUGCUGCUGUAGUAGCAAAAGUUGUUGUUGCUGUUGUUGUAGUAGCUGCUGCUGUUGGAAAAAUUGUUGUGGUGCUUGUUGCUGUUGCUGCUGGAGCAUCUGCUGUUGAAGUAGCUGCUGUUGCUGCUGCAGGUACAGCUGCUGAUGAAGAUACAUCUGUUGCUGCUGUUGUUGCAGGUAUAAAAGCUGCUGCUGUUCUUGUGUCUGAUUAGCCUGCUCAUUCUGUUGCUGAAGAUGAGAUGGUUUUUGCUGCGGCUGAUGUUGAUGGUUCUGGUUUUGCGUUGGCGAAGAAAGGUUUUGUUGCGGCUCCUGUUGGUUAAGUUGUUGGUAUUGUUGCUGCUGUAGUUGGAGGAGCAAUUGUUGGGUCUCCAGUGACAGCUGCUGAGAGAGAGAUUCUUGUGGUUGUUGUGCCUGUGAAAUCUGUGAUGACUGUUGUUGCUGCUGCUGCUGCUGCUGUUGCUGUUGCAGAUAGUACAAUUGUUGCUGAUAAUAAUGCCAGAUAUGAGGUGCAAACACUUGGCCACUUUGAGAAUAUCCAUAUUGUUCACUGUUCUGGUGCAGUUGCUGGUAAACUAGAGUUUGGGCUUGAGAAGCAGGUUGAGGGCUGGGUUGGGGUUGCACAUAUACCAAACCCUGAUGCUGCAUAUUUUGCCCUGCCCAAGCAUAGUUGCCAUUUUGGUAGGCUUGAGCAGCAGCCAUCUGAUACAGAAGCUGGAUUUGGUUAGCCUGCUGAGCUUGCGUGCUUGUCCAAACCUGAGACUGACAUGGAUGACUUUGAUCCAUAAGAAGCUGUGAGCUAGUUCCAGCAGAAGGGUUCUGGAUCUGUGCAGGAACCUGCCCUUGCUGAGGUUGUGAUGCUUGGCUAUGCUGAUGAGAUGAGGUAACUUCUUCAGGAGCCUGCCUUCCAUAGCUCAUCUGGGUCCAGCUUCCUCCGCUGCUAUCAAGUUGAGGAGAUGCAAUACUAACAGGUAAAUCAUGCUUCAAUUUAGACUUUGAUUGAGCGCUCUGUUGCUGUUGCAAUUUCAAUUCUGCAGCUAUAGCAGGAGGCUCAGUAGCUUGAUGCGAAUGUGACUCAUCUUUCUGAAAAUCAGCUUGAGAAGAUGUGCUUAAUUUCAUGUCCAAUGGAUCAGGUUCAUCACAUCCAGAGGCCUCAACUGUGUCCAUACCAUCGUGAACUUUGCUGCCACAUGGAACCGUAAUUACUUGUUCUGAAAGUUCAGUCUCAACUAGAGUGUUCAAAGUCACCUGCCGACUGUCAGAGUCUGGAGAAUUCAUUUGGAGAUUGUCGCGCGAAGGUGGUCUUAUGUUGUCAUCUGAAUUGUGUUCAGGUUUAUCAUUUUCAAUCUUAGAGCAUUCCAAGGGGACAUCUGUUACUUGAGCCGUAGCAGGAGCUUCAUGAACUUGCUCAUUAGUGAUGACAUGCGGUCCACUCUGUUCCAUCAUAGGCUGCUCUGGUAAUUUAGCAUCCUGUCCCUGUAUUUCCUUUGCACUAUUUUUAUCUAUCUCCAAAUGCAAGUUGCUAGUUGCAUCCCUUUCUGAAAGGAUAUCAACAUUAUAUUGUGCAGGUGAGUGUUUCACCUGAUGCAUACCCAGGGCUGGAUUGCUGUUAUCAAAACAACCACUACGAGAAACAGCACUCACUGUUCCCUUCCUUCCGUCCUUGCUCUUGUGUAUACUGCUUUUCUCCACAAAUGUACGGUCGAGUGGUACUCUCAUAAUAUGCGAGAAAAGUUUCCUAUGGCGAUCCCAUGCCUUUCUAAUUUCAUGAAUAUUUCCAUAAAGGUCCAUGAACUGCUGGUAGCAAUCAGAAAUAAUUAGCAGCAAAUAUCAAAAGUGGUGUAAAAAUAUAAAUCAAGAGUCAAUAACUAGAGAAUGAACCAUUCUUAAAUAUCUAUGAACUGAGCAUAUAAGUAAAAGCUUAAAUUAUUACCCUAAUGAGACUCACUGUACUAAAAAUUAACAAUAGUAAUGAAACAUUGCAACAAUAUCAACAAUCCACUUGCAGUUGCAGAAAAAUUUGAAUUUGCCCGUUCACAGCCUAUCACAAAAAGGAUAGAUGAUACGAAAGAGUUGGUGCACUAAAAUGUCCAGUAUUGUGGCAAUUGUGCAAAAGAUUAACAUGUGAGCUACAUUCACAUGAUCAUGCACAUACAAAUCCUAAAAAAAAUAUGAUGAUUUUCACUUACAAGUUUUAGAGUGACUACCACCAUACAUAAGUAAGCAGGUAUCCCUAAGAACAGUCCAAGAAGAAACAACUGAAAGCAUGAUACCAUAGUAAUGCCCAUCCUCGUGGCAUUCCUGAUGUCUAAUGGAAAAAGGGAAAAGAAUUCAAAAAAUGGGUUUGGGGGUCUAUAUAACCGUAUAGAGUGUCACAUGAGCAGUGUUCAUGUCAUUUAAUAAUUAAUAUCCAUAUAAGCAUUAAGAGAGCUAACAUCAAGUGACAACAACACUACUGGGCAACUAAGAUUCAUUGAUUUAAUAGUUGUGCUUUUUCUUUAAAUUAAAUGCAGUGAGUUACAUUAACAAUCAUCAUAAAAAUAUCUAGCUUCUAAUAAAAGUAUAUUCAAUUUAGUCUUAAUUUAUCUUAUACAUUUUAAAUUCCAGUCAAUAAUCAUUAUUCAGUUUUUCCAAGUGUAAAGAAUAGUAUAAACAAUAAAGUAAAAACAUAUAGCACUAGACCACUUGUAGUUACAUUAGCAAUCUUCCUCUGACCCUUCACUGUAGAAUUGAGAAGCACUAAUCUUGACAUAAGUUGAAGUCAAACACCAUCCCAGACACUUACAGAACUUUACAUGUGCAACUCCUGUAGUUUCUCAAAUAGAUUGAGGUUUAAAAAAUUAUUAACUCCACCACACCAGUACUUAUCAUAUUUAUGUUUCUGAUCAAUCAUAUAAGGCCAAGCUAUCUUUGUUCCCACAAUCUGUUUAUCAGAUAAGAGUCAAGACAAGAGUUUAUCAGAUAAAAAACCAUCCAAAUGGCUGUUUAUCAGAGGAGUCAAGAUUUUAAACCUCCGUAACGUAUCAGUAAUCUGCCGUACUGAUAUGGUACCAGUGUACCAGGUGGAAUAUCGACCCCCCACAAUGCCUAGUACCAGUAAAAGAAAGCAAUUAAAAACAAAACCAACUGGUACUGUCUGCUAUGGUCCAAUUCCACUCCUUCAUUGGAUCAUUAAAUACCAGCAAGUGACCAGUAUUUGAAACCCUGAUCUUAGUUGCAUCCUAUACAAACAUUCAGGUAGUUGUUGCUAGACAUAUAUUCUUCUGAACAUAAGACUCGUACAUUUGUUUUAAUGAACUCGUGGUCUUGAAAAGGCAAUCUUACCUCUAAGAAUGACCUAGAUAUGUCUUCACGAUCUUGCAAACCCAAAGCUCCAUAUACAUUUGAUUCUGGCUCUAUUACAUUUGCAAUAAUUGUGUCCAGUACAGGUAUCUCAGAAGCUCCACCAUGAAUUGUUGCAAAGUGUAUCAAUCCCUGUAGAAUAUAAAUGAGUUAAAUAGAAACAUAAAAAAAUAAACACAGUAGAAGAAAAAAAAUCCAAUACAAAAGUGUCGUUAUCAGUAACAAUUCUAUGAACAAGAUAAACUGAUGUUCCCAACUAAUUGGGGCAGACCACAUGGAUUCUUUCCCACCAGUGAGCUCUAUUGGGCACAAUGUCACUGUGUAGACGAAGAAUGAUCACAUUUUUCUUGCUGUUUCUAACCAAGUUUUCUUUAGUUUAGUUUGUGAUCCUCAAUUAGCACUACACCUAAUUUUUUAAUAAAUACAAUCAUUUUUUUGUCCUAUUCUUUUCCCUCCUGUAGAAAGGCUUUUAGUGGUUAGUAUCAUCGAUAUGAAUAUUCAAAAAUAUCAUAAUUUGUAGAAGUAUGUACAUGACAUUCAUAAUUUUCUUCAUUUAAAGGAUCUAUUUUAGAGAAAACAUGGUAAGUAUGAACAGAAAACGAAAAAACUUCAGCUUCUGCUGUGAUACAGAUCUCUGUAUUAUAACUGUCCCUUAAGGAAGAAUCCCCAGCAUGCUUAUCAAUCAAAUACUGAGACUAAAGAAAAAAAGUAACACUUCAGCAUGAAAGUUUUUGCAACUUAAUAUGUUGCUUCUGAUGGAAGAUCAGUAAAAGUCUUCAAAUUGGUUACAACUGACAUAAAAACAGGACAACACAAAAGAAUCAUAGAGCACAGAGCAUUAUUUAGUUCCUUAAGGAUAUUACUUCAGGUGGAUAAAGGGCAAAAAAAGCUCUACCAGAACUUGGAAGGGGAACACAAUUCAGAAUCAUACUUGGCAUCUGAGAUGUUAAUAAGUUUUAUUUUUCCAUGAUCUACCUAACACAAGGCAUAACUUCAAGAAUACUCUCAAAUUUUAAAUACACAGGACAGAAAGUGAAGUUCCAACAUGAAAUACACAUUUGGAACUGAAAAACAUGAUGGUAAAGCUAAAGAAGUAAUAUUAUAAUUAACGGAUAAGAAUACAUGCACAAGACUGUAUACAAGAUAUUCCAUGUCAGUAGAACUCUACGGUGGCAAGCAUACAAUCAGCAGCCACUACUUGAUCUUCACAGACAAACAUAUAAACGAAUAAAUGGAAUAGGUUCUAAUAUAACAAGAAAGCAAAUAUCAGAAGAAUUGGACCUCCAGGAUUGAUUUGCAUGGUAAUUGCUGAAUACCCUUGACGAAAACUCCUCUAGCUGCCUCAAAGCUACCACUUGCCUGAAAAAAGAGUGAAGUCAAGAAACAAAAAGAAAAGGUGAUUAAAAACCUCAAAGCUACCACUGCUUGUAAACGGUUUUCCCUCUAAUUAGGACUACACCUAAAAAACAAUCUGCAUCUGAAGAAAAAGUAGUUUAUCUGCAGAUCUAUACAUUUCCUUUGUUGACAGUUAAAAGGAAAACAACACACACAACAAUUGUAAGACAACAUUUAUGCUGUCUGCUGGAUAUAGUUAAGGUGAGAUACAGCCAUGACAAAGAAUCCCCAGCAGGCUUACCACAAAUGUAAAACGAGCAAAAUUAGUGUACAAAUUUGGAAUGAUUUUCAGAUUCCCCUUUUCUUUAGCCAAUUCAAUUGCUUUUUCAUAUAUCAGGUAAGCUACAUCAGUGUUCCCCUGCAGGAGUAUGAUGACAUUUAUUAGUACUGACAAUUCCAUCUCUCAAAAAAUAAUAAUAAUUGCAGCUAUCUUGUACCAUGCGCUUUUCCAUGUUUGCUUCUCUAUAAACAGUUUCAACCAAGUUAGAAGCUAAAUCCAUAUCCCGCUGAAGAAAUAGAGCACGUGCACCAGAGACAUCACCAAUUUUCUCCUUAAACAUGGCGCUGUAGAUGCAAAAAGCUGGGACUUUCUACUGGCAAUAACAUACAAUGACAUAAACAACUGACACACAAUGACAAAGAAAAAAAUAAAAGUUAAAUAUAGUGUGCCAUCUACAUGCAUAAUUCCCAUAAUGUACUAUCAAUUACCAUCAUGGCUUUUGGUGCUUGAAUUUCAACAAAAUAGCCAAAUAAUCCUGUUGAUGCUGCAUAAAUACUUCACUAUCAGGAUCCAAUCAUCCAUGCAUGAUGCAUCAGACAUUUAGUAACACGUAAGCAUGUUAUGGUGAUUGUUUGAACAAUUAGAUCCACUAAAAGGCUACAUUAAAUGACCCCCAAAAAAAAGGUUCACAGAAUUAGAUGUCAACAUUAUGUAAUUUGGACCUUAAUAAUGCACACAGUUAUUCUAUUUCAAAAGUCUCACUUUAGAUGCCUGUAAGUAAUAGAAUACCAAGAAAAUUCAAAAGAAAAAACAUUGUGGAAUUAUGCAAAAGAUUACGUAUGCAAGAUGACAAAUGGUAACAUAUAUAAACAGCUUGAAUGUCCUUGUAAAUACCAUCACAGCAAAUAAAAGGAGCCAAAAAAAUGACAACUUUUCGAUGAAAUGUAAUACAAGUCUGUCCAAACAACUUUUUGCUGAAAUGUAAUACAAGUCUGUCCAAACAAAUCAUGUGUGUGUGUUUUGGGGGAUACCUUAAGAAAGACAGUCACUGCUCGAGUCAGUGCAUGAUUUGCUAACUCGCGGCCACCCUUUGCUUCCACAAAUUCAACAUAUCGAAUCCAGAACUCUGAGUAAUUAGCACAAGCAAUCAAACAUCUCUCGUAAAGUUUUACAAUCUGUCAUAGGAAAAUGUGGUCAUUCAGAUGGUAAAAGGAAACAGAUCAAAUUUGAGAUAAUUAGCAUAAUAUCAGUAGAAUUUAUACCCAGUCAAAAUCUCCUUGUGUUUCAACAAAGUCAAGAUAAUGAUGCCAGUUCUCAAGCUGACCAGAAUCCAAUGGCUUCACAUGAAAAUAAUUCCUUCUGAUAUGUGCUUCAAAACAACUGAUCUUUUCAUCUAUCUGUCUUGAUCUCUGAUAUAAUUGUUGUCCGAUGGAUAGGAAUUUUUUAAAUGCAUACUUUGAAGCUUUCUGAUCCAUAAAUUCUCUAAUUAGGUUUGAGAUUUCUACAUAUUCACUAUCCUUGAUAUCUAUCAGCCCAUGACUAUGUGUAUUUUCUCUUGGAAAAUCAAGAUCAUGCUGGCAACCCAUCUCUUUUGACCACAUAUCAAUCAACCUUUUAAAUCUGAAAUAUUUCAAGUGCAGUUUCAAGUUAUAUAAUAUCAUCACAAACUUGAUUCUUCAGAAGUAAUUUAUGUACUCAAGAUAGUACCAAAUUUACUAUGUUCCCGACAUCAAAGUUAUAUCAAAUCAAUGACUUAACAGAACAAAUGAAUUCACAUUACCAGUGCUAAUAACUAAAAAAACAAUUUUGUGACAAGCAAGAAUAGUGUAGCACAAUCUUGUAUCUUCACCAACAUGAGACUAAAGCAUUUCAUAUUUCCCAGAUUGGGGAAUAAAACAAGAUACGUACCUUUCAUAAUAGCUUUGCAGUUUCUUUGUGGGAAAUACUAGUGUUCUAAUGUAAAGAUGAGCUAGCUGACUCCACUGCUUCAGUGAAUAUUCAAAUUCAAUGUAUUUAUCCCACAGCUGAUAGCACAAGUAGUCUUUCUUAACAAAGGACAAAGCUCUCUCAUAUAAUCUGGCAAGAGGUACCAUAAAUAUUAAUGCAAAAAAGAAUUUUGAAAAUGUUAGCACAGAAAAUAGAGAAAGUGGUAUAAACCAGAAAGUAAGUAAAUUUUAACAUAUAAUCAAAUGUGAGUUGUGUACUUAAACUUCAAGUCGACUAGAUUUCAGCUCUUCCAACAGGAACUCCCCAGUUCAAUUACAAAUGCGAAUAUUCUCAAAUAUUCUAAACAAUCAUAUUACCUAGCCAUGAACUUUAGCUUUCUAAUCAAGAUUUAUCCACAUUGUAAACCCCCUGCUCUCCAAUUAUGCAUGUAAAGAUAUGAUUUGUUCUGUUUGAUGCAUUCUUUUCUUAAAAUAAAGGAACUCUCUAGUUCAGACCUAAGCAAGAUAUUUCAUUACCUGUCAAGCAAUUGGAUUAUUUUCAACAAUAGUUCCAACAAGUAACCAUGUUUCACACAAUACAUUUUGGCUAUUCAACUCAUUCGAUUAGCGAGUGCCCCACCAUAAUACGUAGCACCUACAUUAUUCUAGUGAGUUAAGACCUACCAAAUCAUGAGUACAAACCAAAUCCUCAUCCAUAAUUUUAUGGAAUGCAGAUGUCAGAUCAGUACUAAGAACAAUUAUAAGAAGUCCAUGUUCAUUCCUAUUAAACAAAGAGAAGAAGAAUUUCUCAUGUAAAUCAAACAAUUCCCCAUAAAUGUAAUGCCUUGCUGAAGCACCUCCGCUAUCCUUUUCUAAUUCAAAUGCAAUAUGAUAAGUUUCUCAUGCAAAUCAUAUAUCUUCCGUGGCAACAUUUUUUUUUUUUCUUUUGUAGUGUCACUAAAAGCAUCAAUUCCAGAAGGUAUGUAACAGUAGAUAUGUUAAAUUAUGAAUAUGUGAACCAGGGUUUAAAAUCCUGAUACCGGACCUAACCAGAUCGGGAUGGGCCCGAGUAUGUACAAGCAUACCACCACAUGGUAAGCCAGCAUUACCAAUUGGCACCAAGAGUGGGAAGGAGGAGAAGGAGAAGAGGAGGAGGAGAAGGAUUAGGAAAAGUACUGGGGAUGGCACGAUAGUGGGAUUAGUGUGAUAGCAGGCGACGAUGGUCAGCAGCAGGCGGAGAGAGAAAGAGGGAGGGGGGGGAGGGGGGGGGGAAGAGAGAGAGAGAGACCAGGACUCGAGAGAAUNNNNNNNNNNNNNNNNNNNNGGGGGGGGGGGAGAGAGAGAGAGAGAGACCAGGACUCGAGAGAAUCAAGAGAGACAGAGAGAGAUAAGACAAAUAAAGACAUACCAUCAAAACUACAAAAAGGAUCAUUUCAAACCAGACCUUUUGAACUGAGCUAGGCUAACCACUCAGUUCAAGCCCAAUAAUGAGUAAAAUCCGGUGGCAAACUUGAUUUCUUCUGGUUACCAGACUGGACCAAAUGAAAAACCCUGGUCUGCAAGUAAUAACUUUUAAGCACUUUAAGAAAAGUUUGGAGACCUAUAAAAUCAUAGGCUUCAUAUGCAUCCACAAUUAACUGCAAUUAAAGUAAUGAAACUCUAGAAUCCUACAUGACGAUUGAGAAAUGAAAUCCUAUUAAGCCAAAUUAUUCAUUCGUCCAUGCAGACAAUCAACUCAAUGUUCCAAUUUUAUCAAAGUUUCUACCGCAUAAAUAACCUCACAAUUUUAUCUUGUUAUACUUCAUCAAGCUUUAUUAUAUUAAUUUCAAAUCUGUUGCUUGAAAAAUUUUCCCCUAAACUUAGCUAAAUAUGAUGUAAGGCACCAGAAACCGUUACCAGAAUUUUAUAUUAAAAAAUGGCAUAUGGAAUAAAGCAAUAUGAUUGCAUAUUUUGUUAUUAUCAAGUAGAAACUUAUAUUAAGUACCUCCGUACGUCAGCAGGAUCUUCAAAUGAUAAGGCACCAAAUGUACAGUAACUGACCCACAGAUUAACAGAAUAUGGUAUUGCUUGGACAGCCCGUUCAUAGAUUUCCUCAACCUCAUGUAAAGUGCAUAGUCGUGCCCUAUUACUUGCAUACUUAUUCCAAUAACCAUAGCAUAAAGGAUACUCAGACAAGAAGGCAUCAUAAACCAAACAUAUCCUUUCCAGGUCAUUCUGCAGCACAUAUAUCAAAAUGUCAAUAACAGAAAAGACGAAAUCACAGAUAAGUUUAAUAUUUUAUCUCAUAACAAAAAACAGACAAACUAUGACAAUUCAGAAUGUCACAGUAAAUAACGGAAAAAAGAAACAGGCUUCAACGUCACAACAAUGAGAUUGUUAGUAUCCACUGGACCAUGUUUUUCUUGCUAUCUCUGCCAUCAACUCGUCACUUUUUGCAAUUACAACGGGUCAGGUAGCAUGAUAACCCUUCUUCAGGUUAUAUGCCUACAACAAAAGGAAUUUGCUAAACUAACCUGGAGAUCAAGUCGAAUGCAUGAUGACAUGGUUCAUCAUAGGAAUACUGCAAUACAGCUGUACGUGUAUAAUUGCAAUACUAUUUUGGUCAGAAGCUAUUUCCCUUGUAUGAGGUUCUGUAAGUUCGAUUCUCUUGUUUAAGUGUUCUAUGGUCUUCAAAUGAUAUGAGCCAUCAAAUCUAGUUAAACCACCAUUCCUAAGUUUCUUGGGGAUAAUUUUGUACUCACCAACAGGUAAAACUUUUAACUGCUGUGAGCCAUUACUGAUCUCCUUGGAAAAAAAUGCAGCCUGGGAGCAUAAGUGGCAGGUCUGGUUAUAUACCUACUCCCUAAAACUCUCAACCAAUAACCCACAAUCAUCAAAUGCUUGUUUCUAUUGCCUCCAAUGUAAUUUUACCUUUCAAGCAGCUUUCUUUUAAAACUUGAUCUUAUAUUAGCCUUUUUACCAGAAUUCUAGAAUUUAAGAAAAACAUGUUUUCUUCCUACAUUUUCCUCCAUUUUAUUUUGAUAUAAUGUAUACUUUGCUAUAUGCACACAUUUAGAAGAUUUUAAGUUCUACUAUACAAGUUCUUCGCUGUUUGUUUAAUUAUUGAUUGAGUGUUCUAGGAACCAGUUUUGAUUGAGAUUCUUCACUUUUGUAGGCUUGACCUUGGCAAGUUAAGACAUUGAUAAGUCAUCCUUUCAUUUAAAAAUCAUGUUGAUUCAUUAACCUUCUGUAUUUGUUUCAUGACAUGCUAUCUCAUGUGUUAUUUUUCCAUUUUUCUUUUGGAUUUUAAAGUUUUAAUUUCAAAGUUUGCUAAAAAGGUUUUUUUUUCUUUUUCACAAUGCUAAAAUUUUUUAGUAUGACACUAUGACUUUUGUUUCCUAGAUGACAAAAGGGGCUUUAAUUUUUUUCAAUAGGUUACAUUUGGACAUAUAACCUUCUCGUUUGAAUUGUUCUUUAAGACAAAAUUGCCACCUUGUGUUCAGCUGUUGAUUAACUUUCUUCCUUGGAAUAGUGUGAAAGGGAUACAAGUUGAUUAGAUCUACUUCUGAACAGAUCUAGGAAAAAAAAAAUUGGUCUUUUCAUUGGGUGCAUCAUAGUUCUUUGAGCAACAAAAGAGUUCAUUGGAGAUCCUCCUAGAAAUACCACAAAUAAUUUUGGAAGGUUCAUAAAUAAGGAAAGAGAAGUGCAAAGAUGAAUGGGAAAAUGUUAGUCAUGAUUUUAGCAAUUACAUAGUAGUUCCCACUAUAUGCUGUUAUUGUUUUUAUCCAGUUCACUAUUACCUGACUUAUUUUUAUUUUCUGUGCAUGUUAUAGCAAGCAUCAACAUCACAUUAAAAUGCAAGUAUUUGACAGAAGCAUGUAAUGCAUUACAGUUCAGUAUUGUAUUUUUCUUACAUUCAAAGUUAAUAAUAAUUUUUUAGUGUACUUGUUGUUUUGUCAAUAUUGAUUGUUUAUAGUUCCUCAUUUGUGUCUUCUACCAUACAGGUUGAGAUUGCCGACACAUUAAGAUUAUGAGUUUGUUAACCAACUAGAAGUGUAUGAUACUAAUUGCACUUCCCAACUUCAAGCCUUAGCCAGUAAAUGAAAAUAAAACAGCAAUCAACUAACAUUGACAUAUGUGGAAUCUUGGGAAUGUGAGUUCUGGAUAUCUGUUUGUCAUAUAAAAGGUAACAUAAGCAAUAUUUGUUGUUCCACGUAUAUAAAAGAGCUCAACAGUAAUAUCAUCUAAACAAGAUUACAUAUGAAUCCUUAAGAAUCAUGAGUCUUAAUGAAUUGCCUGGAUAUACCACCUCCAUUGUUAUGAAUUGCAAAAUUUUCCAUAAUAAUCCUAAUCACAAUGCUAUAUCAGUAGAUCCACCAACUGGUAUCCAUGUCAUUCAAUGAGGGCACAAUAUGAGACACUGGUCACGAUAUUAAAGCAAUAGAUGAUAAUUGUUAUCAAAAUAAAAAAUAAUCAUGUAUAAAUUUGUUGUGGCAGAUAGUGGUGGAGGCUGUUAACAUAUUGAACUUCAAAAAACUCUAAAUGAAACUAAAAGCUCUGUUUUCUAUAAAUGAUUCAGCCAAUUCUUUUAGCAAGAAAUCUCUGUUAUGAGUUGCUCAUGAAACUUCAAAUGAUGAUAUAAGUUUCAAACACUGAAUACAGAAUCAUAUAUACUUACAUAUCAUUACAUUUCCCUAAGCAUAAACAGGCAAAAUAAUUCAAGAAAUCAAAUCCACAUACAAGAAAAUAAAGCAAGAUGAAUAUCACUUACAGGGUAAGCCUUCUCAAUAUGUGCUAUAAGUGAAGUCCAAGAUUCAAAAUCAUUUGGGAUGUCACCUAGCAAAGCUUGAAAAUUAUUCCAAUCAUAACCAACUGCAUGUUGAAAUAUUACGUCAUUAAAAUACUCUUAAAAUCAUGAUCCAAUUUAUUUCACACAAAAUUCCACAAUUGAAUACAUCUAGAUAAUGCAUUGAAUUUUUGAACUUUCCAUUUUUUUUUAAGAAUUAGACAACAAAGAACGAAAAUCACCAACCAUCUAAAAAAUUUCAUUCUUCAAUAACCUCUUUAAAAUUACAAUAAUUUAGAUUGUCCAACCGUUCAAUACUUUAAAGUAGACCUACAUCCCUACUUCAUGACAAUACCCUAAUCGCACGAAAACAAUAAACAUCAAACCAAGAAAAAGCAAGCACUGGAACCUCAGUAUACAUACAUCACCAAAAACUGCAAUUAAAUGUGUCAAAUCAAAAUGAUCUUCGUAAUUUCAAAAGCCACACUGCAAAAGUGAAACCUAAAAGUCAACUCAUCAUGCAGGAAAAAUAAAAAAGAAAAUGAGAACGAUCACUUUAUGGAGCGCAUUCAAGAAUUCAUCUUCUAUGUGAAUCGAGAGGAGUGCCACAGAGGAAACUGAGCAACAACCACUCCCUAAGUUUUAUCUCUUGUUUCUUUCCUGAUUCCACCUGGUUGCCGUGUGUCCCAUUAUGACCCCGGUGAAAGAGGAACUACAGUAGAGCGCCAUCGUAACUCUCUACUUCAAUGAACAAGCAUGCUCCAUUGUAGAGCGUACACUGAUUUGGUUAUGGUUCUUGCACGCAUUUUCGUCAGAAUCUUGAAAGUAAAAGAGCUUCAUGGGAGGGAUCAAAACUCACCUGAGACCAUUUCCGAGGAUUUUUGAGCUCCAUCCUCCAUCAGCGUGUCUCUCUCUUCGAUCCCCUUCACGUCCGACGCCUCCAUUGUGCCACCGGGGAGAUCGAGUAACCCCGCGACGCUGGUACCAGGAGCAAGAGUAGCAUUUACAUAUAGUAAGAGUCGAAAACAUUUUCGAACAAGGCCGAGGACGGUCCCAUAUUGCCCAAGAUAUUGCGUAUAUGCCAGGAAUCGUCGCGAAACCAGUGGUAAUUCUUGAGAAACAUCGGGCAAUUUCAACCGAUUUCCGCAAGAAUCCUGCCAGCCGACAGGUGAUCCCCGGAGGAAGGGUAAAGAAGAGGAAGGCGGCUUACCUUCCCCACCGUUGCUGCCCUCCGCCGGUAGCACCACGCGUUCGACUCUCCGGAAUCCAGCGAACUCGGGGAGCCUCUCCGCACGUGGCUUCGGAACCCUAGCGGACGAAGGGGAGACGGCUUCCUCUACUUAAAUAUUUUAUAUAAUUAUGCGAUGUAUAAGUUGUCCUUUUUAUUUAUUUGAACUUAUAAUUUAAUUAUAAUAUGAAUUUUGACUUAUAAGUUUAAAUCAAACUUAUAUGUAAUAUACAAUAUAAUCGUUUUAAAUUUUUUUUUAAUUUUUUAUAGUUUAUUAUAAUGCAUAACUAUUAUGUAUAUUAUAUAAAUUUAAGAUAAGAAGUUAUAAUGAAAUUGAAAUGUACCAAACCAUAAGCACAUUUCUAUUACAAUCAAAACUUAACUUCAAGAGUGGCUUCUUGAUGCCUUCCCUUAUAUAACAUCUUGUUUUCUUCAUAUAGAUCACAGAAGUUCGCAAACAAUGUUGUUUUCUUUACAAUAAUUUACUGCUGACAAGUAUUUUUAGAUUCUUGAAAGUAUUUUCUAAGGAAUCAAACACUACAUGUACAAGAAUUAAGAUUUGACCAGAGAAAAUUUGUUGUCGUCUCCCAGAAAUACCCACCUUUUAUUGAAAGCUAAUUGAAUCAAAAGAGGCUGAAGAAAAAAAAGAACGAGAUGGUGUGUUUAAGGAUCAUCCACAAAGUUCAUCGGACAUCUAAAGUCAGCAAUAAUCAGAACAUCUUCUAAUGGUAAAUAAAGACAAAAAAAACUGGCUAUUCCAGCCAUAAUGAACAGUGAUAACCUAAAUCAACCAUGCUAAAAUGUGCACACAAGGAAGUAUUUUUAAGUACAAAAAUUUAUAUUGGAGAACACGGAGGACCCCUCUACUGUCUGUCUUCUACGUUUAAAUUGUUUGUUGGGAGACCCAUCAGAUCCGUCAUGCUGCACAGAUGCUUAAACUAACAAUGAACAAGGGAGGGAAAAUCUUGGUGCCCAACUCCAUUGCAUGCAAACUAUGAUUGCAACUCAUGAAGAAGCCUUGUGAGACCAACAGCUUUGGAAAUCGGAGAUGGGUCGAUUGUGGAAAUCCAUCAUCCAUCAUGUUUUCAAGUUAAAGACUUACUAGAAAUCAAGAGAUGAACCUUUUGAUGGCCCAGAACAAGUGCCAGAUGUUGAAUAUGAAGUGCCGCUUGAAGCCUCUACAGGAGCUUGAUUUAGACGUUCUAAGACCAGAGAUCUCCGCUUCUGAAGCUUUAAUGAGAAUGUAGAUGCCUCUAGUACCGUUGGAACCUGUUUGCAUAUAAAAAAAAAGUUGGAAGAAAAGAUGAAUAAACAAAUUCAUCACUUGAAUAUUUGUUUUAGAAGUGUGACAGAAGAAAAGUUAGCAAAUCUCACUACCACAUGCUGAUGCUAAUGAUGUUCUAAGUCAAACCCGAUUACACCGAUUACCAGGAUGUAACAAAAAAAAUGAUCAAUGUUAGAUUGACCUUGAAGCAGAACUCAUGCUGGAUAAAGCUCCAGAUAGGAAUUAACAAAACUUUUACAAAAGAACUUCCCUUAAUACCUAUCAGUUUGGUUGGCACUGGAGGUGCAUUUUAGUGGUUGCAACAUAAGAUCAAAGGCAUUCAAAUCCCUCUAGGCAUAUAUUACAAAGAAAUAAUAACAAAAAUAAUAACAAAAUAAUGACUCGAGGGAACAUAACCAACACAAAAGUUGACCAUGGAAAUUAGAACAAAGUAGUAACUUUAAUGAACAUGACCCUUAAAUUACACAGCAGGUGGAGGUUUAGUUUAAAAGAAAGAAAACAAUAAUAUGCAUAACACAGUGGAACUACUAGGAAUGAAUUGUUCAAAAUUAGAACAUGUAACACUAAUACCAUUCAUCAUGAACUAUCCAGAGCUAGCGCACAAAUGUAAAAAACUGAUGUGAUGCACACAAUACAAGUGUCAUAAGGGAGAAAAUAAUGGGGAUAUGAGCUACCUGCAUGGGAGUCCUAAUGUGAUUAUAUGGGUAUACAACUAGAAUCAUGAAAUGUAUAAUGUAAAAGAUGGGACAGGGGAGAAGAUGCAGCCAAGUGCCGGCAGAUUUUUAAAGUGUCAUGUUAAAGGGUCUGAAUGAAAUGGAUAUUGCAAAUUGGUUUUCACAGGCAUUUGCUAGGAUCAGAAGGAACAGUUAUAUAAAAACUGAUACAGCUCUAUCUGACCUUGUAUAAGCUGAAGCUGAAUCAGCUGAAGGCUACAAUGUCAAAUAUGGUCAGCAUGCAACCCUUAGUAGUUUUCUGUUGGCAGAAGCCACUAUCCCUGGUAAUUUAGUCUGAAAUCUCAAUGAUUUAAUCCAUUUCCGACCAUAUGUGCAUCCCCUGACUGUGCUGACUUACACUCUCCACCUUGCCACUACCUCCUCCUGCAUGGACAUCCACUCUCCCCAUCUUGGCUACACUUAUAUUGUCUCAGCAUCACUUCCACUCAACCACUAUCUAUUGUUAAUACUCUCCACCUAAAUGUCUCGUUACUUGAGAUAUUCCAAUAUUUGUUGAUGAGUCUUCGAAGACUUUCCAGUUUAUAAAAAAUAUUUUUUCCUUUUUUCUCCCUCUUUCUAACCUCCUUCCGUUCCAUCUCACUACCUGUGCUCCUCAAGGCCUUUAAGCCUUCCAUUCUACCCCACUACCGGGAGCAACUAAAAUUUCUCACUGCAACCUGAGUAUCCCAGUAACCAAUACAGAUCAAUCUUAAGUCCAGAAUGAAUAUCUCAAGUAAGCAUCUGAGGUAAGUAGAAGUUUCAGGACCAGUGUUUGGUUUAGCUAAACUAAUCUAGUUUAUUCAAGUUCCAACAAUGUAAGAAGUUACUGAUGAUGCAUAAGUCAAACUCUGUCUCAGAAAAUGGCCAAUUCUGUGAAUAUCUCAGAGGGUAAUAUCACUGAAAAAGGGUCAAAAUUUUUAACUAAUAGUGCUUGUAAUGUUAAACAGAUGUAAAUUACGUCCCUGUAAAAAUAUGUGAAUAUGUCCUAAGAGUUGUUGGCCAGCAAAUAGUCCCUAGGACACCUCCAUUUAAAAGUCCUUAACUUUCACGAUGCUUCAAAGAAAAAUAAAAUCCAGUUUUUCCUUAGCUUCAGUCAAGCAGUCAAAGACAAUUUUCUUUUGCAAAGUUUUUAUCCUACAGAAAAAAAGAAUAAAAAAGAGGAGAGGAGCCAUGUGCCACAAGUUACAGAUUUCUAUCUAAUUAUAACAACACGGGAACAGCACUUCAAAUAAUGAAAAGAGAAUAUAAGCAACUUAAGGCUCCAUUUUCUUGUCAGAAUCUGGUGGAGUUCAUUAGUCAGCCACAAACUAAAAUACAGACACUGAUAGGAAAAAAGAGCAUGCAAUUUUCUUUUACCUGGCUAUUGUUCUGAGCAACCUUGUGCACAUGUAAAAGCCCUAACAUAUCUUGGUAUCCUGUAAGGAGUUUAGCCAUAUCCUUAUCUUCAUCUGAUGUGCAAAAGGGAAAAAGAUUGGAAAUAAGAGCAGGCGAUCCAAACAAUUGAGGGCAUCAAAAAAGCGAAGCACUUAAACAUGCCUGGAAUUGCUCUGACAGACAACAAUGUAUCUGCCAGGUGCUGCCAUCUCUUCAGAAAUGCGGGCAAAAGAAAUGAAGUGGGAAACGUUACCACAGCAACCACAUUUGAAGAACGAAUAAUUGAUCUCAGAAACCUGAUAAAGGCAACCAAGUCCCAGUCCUACAAUUGCAUGUCAAUAUAAUUAGAAAAAAAAUACAUUUUUUUGUCAAACUAACACAUCUAAAAGACAAAUUAGUUUGGAAAAAAGUAUCAAAAGGACAAAAUGAUACUUAUAUUCUACAAAGUAACCGGAAAUUGAAUCUUUUGGUUCAGCGUAAGCAAUUAUGCACACCAUUUCAGCGUAACCACAUUGUGGAGCACACAAUGACUGAAUAGCAAUACGACCAGCACUUAAGUUGCCACCAUCAGACCUAGAUGCAAAACAAAUGAAUUGUCAAAUCAAUGAAAACAGUAGUCCCUAUUUCCAGCCAGCAGGGCAAGUAUGGAAGGCAUAGAAAUUUGUCAUUAUGCUUUUGGUUCAAGAAGUAACUUAAUGAGCCUGACAUCUAGGCAUGCAUCAACUUAAAGUUAAAUUGCCUUUCUGGGAACAAUUAAUAGUCAUAAUUUGUUACUCUAAAAUUAUCAUUCAAUCUUUCAUUAUUCAUGCAUAUUCUAGGCACUUGUUAUCCAUCGAUAGUAAUUUAACAAAACAUUGAUUACCAUAAUACUAUUUUCUCAAUGAGCACUUAAUUGUUAAUUCCUUUCAAAAGAGUGGAUCACAAAACCUUUUAAGCCAAAUAUUGGAAUUGGUUCUAGUUGUCAAAAAUUUAACUUUUAUCACUAGCAUCCAUAAUUAAACUUGGAUUAAUUGUCUACUAAAACAUACAUAAAGCAUCACCUGGUUUAUCUUAUUUGACAUGAAACAUCACUUCAGUAGGGAAACUGAUGAUUAACUUGUUUAGCCCACGCCAAGAAGCAAAAGAAGUAACACCUCUAAGAUGGAGAAUCUCAAGAAAAGCAUGUAUGAACAAGUGGGAAUCUGUUUCAAAGUCUUUAUUUUCUUCAUUACCAUCAUAGAAAAGUAAACAUUGUUUUCAUUUAACAGGAAUGAUCCAAAUAAAAUGAUAAAUUUUGAUCUGUCGGAUGUGUCAUCAGACAAGAAAAAGAUUGCUGUUGAGCGCAAAAGAGAUCUACCAUGAGAACAGGCAACUGAUAUUCAUCUAAUCAUGACUAGAAAGUGUAACAUCACCAACAGCACAUUCAUGUAUAAAAUUCUUAUUUCUAUAUGUGGUAUAUGAACUGGAAGAAUGGGUCAUACCGUGGAAGUCCAGAUAAAAAGUUUGAACAUCGAUCACGGAGUAUGGUUAGAUGUGGAAUAUCUUGAAUACUCAUGCUUUCAAUAUACUGGACAUGCUGUCUUUCAAGGGUCUUUCGCAGAUCAAAGUCAUUGCUGAAUUCCUGCUUAACAUCUGCAGAUACAAUUUAUUAUCAUUUUAGUAUUAGCAAACUAUCUUAUCCAAUAAAAAAUAUGUCUUUCUUCGAGUGACCAACCUCUGUUAUGAUUCUGAGAAGACUGUUGGUCCCCGAAAUACUUCUUAUACUGCCAAGCUAUGCGCAAACCCUUCUCCUGCACCCCAUCGACCAUACAUACUACUUGAAGAUUGAAUAAAAGAUAAAAAGCAGAUAUUGAGAUGCAGAGGGAGAGGUACCUGAUCUUGCUGAUUGUGGUCGACAAGGGUGUCUCGUUGCCUGUGCUCCUUGGACGAGGAGACAGGCGAAGGCAACGUGCCAAGAAACGCCCUCGGGUCCCUCAGAGGGCUGGCGAAGAGGACGGGCUGCCGAUGGACAACGCCCUGGGACAUGAAGUUCCGAAGGAGGAGGAGAUGGUGGGGCGCGUCGGCGUCCUCCAUCACCAUCACCAACGAUCCCAAAAGGAACCCGCCCCCAAGGAUUGCUGCAACAGCAGUACACGAGCGUUAGGAGGAACCCUAACACUGUCGUGAGACAUCGAGGCGACGUAGACGAGAGAGAGCGAGGGGACAGCACUAUCGAGGUCUGGGAUUCCAGAUGAGACAAAGGUGGCGCCAUUAGGGCCGAGUUUGACGCCAGGGUUCGGAGGCGAGGGCAGCACCGCCGAGGGCGACGACCGGGCUCGCGAGAAGCUACUGGUGUUGGCGCUCCUAGCGCCCUGAAGACGGCCGUCCGCCGCCGUCGCCAUUACUUCUCGGGUUCUCUUCCGCUCGUCCGUUGCCUUCACUCUCAAGCCGAGAGCACCGCCGUGCCCGCACCAAUCGGAACCGGUAUCGUAUCGGCCCAAACGACGGCCCAAGAGAUAUGCAUUGGUGGAUGGACGGCCUCGAUCGCGUUGGAAGAUGACAGUUUGGAAACUGACCCAAGCCCAUGUUAAUUUGAAUCUGACCCGACUCAAACAAAACCCAGCCCAACCCAAUCAACCUUAAACCGGACCCGACCCGACCCAAUACUGUUUCUUAACCGCGACUGUAUCCCGACGUAAGUCAUGAUCCUCGUAGUCAAACACGAUCGAAGUCACGACAAGAACGAGUUAUCUAUCCCUCCUUCACUGCCCGUGACCUGUUCGCGUAAAUGCCUCGUACAGAAAGGACACAUUUGUUCCUCUCCCAGUGCUUGAAGCGAAACCAUCGAAAGGAACCAAGCAAUCAAUGGAGAUGGGAACAGCAACUCGGUGGUGAGACCGGCCGGCGGUCACAAGCUGUAAUCCAUGCAUCCCCGAUUUGCCUCCUCAACAACUCAGCCAACCUGCAGAGAGAGAGUGUGUGUGUGUGUGGUUCAUAUGAUGCACCUGAUCCUCUCCAUUCUUUUCCCUGGACUUUGUGGGUCAUUAGCUAUCCCCGAGCUGUCACGAUAGCUACAGCUCUGGAGUGGCUUGGGCGUGGGGAGCAUGUGACCAAAACGUCUUUCUCCCAUUCGCGACAACGAGGAGGAGGUGGACCAUCGAAGGCAAUGAUAUCUCCACAGCGGCCUGCUGUUUCAGCCAGGCUAAGUUACAGCGUAUGAUAGCCAUCCCCCUGUUGUGGUUCCCUCGCAGGCACGGCUCGUGGGGAGUGGAAAUGAUGAAGGUGGCUCUGUUUUCCCCCCAUCUCGUGCAAGGAAUCAGUCCAUCUUUUUCACGGAGGAAAGAAAAGGAGGCAGGCGGUGAGGAGAGACGACGAGAGAGCAUUGCAGGAAGGUGAUGCAUUGAAUGGUCCUUCUUGUGGUAACUGUUCAAAGACCUUUCUCGCGUCGUUAAUACCUAAAUGUAGAUAUAUGUUGACCGUUGACUCGCUUCGAUGUUAUUAGGACACACCAAAUGGUCGUAGUCAGAUAUAGCCGUUACGAGGGUAGGUUGGUCUUUUAACCGCACAGUGCAAGGCAGUCGGAUUUGGUCGUGCAGUGGAGGGAGGAGAAAAUGGUAAAUUCAGUAACGGCAGACAGCAAGCUGGAUUUGGAGUUUUUUGUCCCACCGUGUUGACCUCAUCCUCUCACUCUCUCUCUACUUUUCUUCUCAUUUAAUUCUUUUUCUCUACCAUUAAUCCCAUUUUUAAUGUAUUCCUUCCUCUAAUUUCCAACCUCCACGUUAGAUGCCAACCCUGCAACCCCUCUCUAGCUUGCUUUCCCUUCCACUGCUCUCUUCCUCUGCCACACCUUUGUCUCUCUUUCCACACAUCUUACUAUCUCGGGCUUUGGCUUCCCCAUUCUCUCAGCAACGUAGAAGAAGAGAAGACAAAAAAAAAAAAAAAUCCAAUUUUUCCACAGAUUUUGCCUUCUUUCUCUGAGUUCUUAAAGGUUGGGGUGGAAGUGGUUCUUCCUUCGGCCUUCUUUUGCUUCAGUAGGUUGUAAGCUAGACCUUUCUUGUCACUCUUGGCUUGGUUCUUUGAUUCUUCUCUGACCACGCUUCUCCUUGGUUUCUUGCUAGGGUAACUGCGCUCGAGGUUCUUUGAUUCUUCAUCGGUUGAGGAUGCUCUUUAUUUGGGCUUCGCGAUAUCAUCAAGAUUAGACCAUCAAAAAGGUUUUUUUUUUCCUUUCUAUUGGAUUUUUGGAUUUAUUUUUCCCUUAUGUUGCUAUAUGCAUCACAAUUCUUCUCUUGAUGGUUAUGGGAUUAUCUCUAGAUUUUCUUUUUUCCAUGUACUUGUUUUUAGGGGUUAUUGCAUGAUCCCUAAUUAUGGACUUCUGGAAACAAAACUCUCGUAUUGCUGAUACUUCAUUCGAAGCUUUGAAUUAGUGAUUCAGUGGGCGUUAAUGUUUCCUUUAGUACCAUAGAUUAUACUGUGUUGUUUAUGUUUGUGACCAAAAAUGUUAUGGACUUGGUUGUUUUAUCGUUAUAUUUCAUGCGACAUAAAUUCUGAGAAUAUGUUCGGUUAUAAGCUUGGUUUAUGCUGGAUAAGUUGCAUUAUGACUUGUUACAAUAGAAGGAAAAUAUUCCUUAGAUUUCACAAAAAAAAUUGAGAAUGAUUCAUGGUCGACAAUGUAGGUAACUGCUUAGCAUCCCAUCAAAAACCUGCAGGUUUUCGAUCCAUGGAUGCUAGCAUUUAGCAGAUUCAUGCCUCUGUGAAAAGGGUAAUUUUUGGGUUCAGUGUCAGGUAAUAACGUGCUCUUUGAUUUUCAGGAAGAAGAAUGUCAUCUGGUGAUUCUCUAAAUGCUGAAUUAUCUGAGAAGACACCAGUCCUUGGCCUGAGACUUUGGGUUGUGAUUGGCAUCUCGGUAGGUGUGUUGAUUGUCUUCAUUCUCUGUAUCCUAUCCAUAUGGGUUACAUCUCGUCGGAAGACAAGCAGAACCUUUGACAAAUUACCAGUAUCGCAAAUUCCCAAUGUCUCAAAGGAGAUUACAGUAGACAGAGUUGGUACACAUAGUCUUGCUCAGAGUCUCCAAGAGCAUGAGGGACCAUUCUUCUCCUCCUAUGACAAGUUUAGUGAGAAAGACUCUGGAAAGAAGCUCGCACAUUUAACAAUGAGUAAAUCUAGUGAUGCUGACAAUAUGAGCCAAUGCAGCUCAGUUCACCACAAUGACAGGGUUGGGAGUUCAUAUUCUGGUGAUGAAGGUAGCUCAGGACAUGCAAGAAAACCGUACUCGCCAUACAGUCGUGUCUCUGCAUCUCCUUUGAUUGGCUUGCCAGAGUUCUCGCAUCUGGGAUGGGGCCACUGGUUCACUCUGCGGGAUCUCGAGAAUGCUACAAAUCGUUUUUCAAAGGAAAAUAUCCUUGGGGAGGGCGGAUAUGGUGUUGUUUAUCGAGGCCGUCUGGUCAAUGGAACUGAAGUUGCAGUCAAGAGGCUUCUAAACAAUCUGUAAGUUAUAUUUAUAGGUUCACUAUUUAUGAUUUUUCACUGAUAACAGACAUUGUUCUUUCACAUAGAUAAUUUAAUUUUGUGAGUUUUGGGUUUUCCAGGGGACAAGCAGAGAAAGAAUUCAGAGUGGAAGUGGAAGCUAUUGGUCAUGUCCGGCAUAAGAAUUUAGUCAGGCUUUUGGGAUAUUGUAUAGAAGGAACUCAUAGGUGGACACUUGUUAUUAUGUGCUUGCUUUACUAUUAUAUUUUACCUUGUCAGAUAAAUAAGCACCUAAAAUACAAUUUAUAUCCAAGUAUAGAGGAUGAUUUCCCAUCUAUUCAUGGGCAGCUAUAGAUCAAACAGUAAGCUUGCUAUUGUAACCAAUUUUUGUUCAUACUAAAUGAAGAUCUCUUGACCCAACGGCCUUUGGGAUAUUGUAUGCAAGGAAUUAAUGGGUGAACACUUGUUCUUAUGUGCUUGCUUUACUAUUGAAUUUUACCUUGUCAAAUAAAAGGAGCACCUAAAAUACAUUUUAUAUCCAAGUACAGAGGAUGAUUUCCCAUCUAUUGAUAAGUAGCUAUAGAUCAAACAAUAAUAACGAUGCUGUAACCAAUUCUAUACAUACUACAUGGAAGAAUCUCUUCUAUUGUUUGACAAACCAGAGCAAUCUGGUGAUAUGUAAACAAACUUAUAAUCUAUGAUUGGUUACUUGAUUCUCAACAACCUAGUGUUGCAAAAUUUGGUCAUAAUCAAUCAUAUUUUGGAAAAGAAAUAUAUAUUUUCCUUGUCAAUGGUUUUAUAAAUAGGCCAUUUGUUGUUGAAAGAAUAUGACACUAGUACGGCACAUACACAGAACUUCUUUAAAAAGAGAAAAAAAAAGACAUGCAGCUUGACAUAGUAUUAUGUUGAAUAAUCUCAUCUUUUAUAUUGCCUAAUAUGUGUAGGAUGCUUGUGUAUGAGUAUGUCAACAAUGGAAACUUAGAGCAAUGGCUUCAUGGAGCUUUGCAUCAACAUGGUGUUCUUAGUUGGGAGAACCGCAUGAAGGUUAUCCUAGGCACUUCAAAGGCGUAAGUCUGGACAUUAAGAUUAUACUUGUAUCACUGUUAGUCUUCUUUAUAUUUUGAUCUCAUAUCGACUCAAAUAUUAACCAUUAGGUGAUUUUUAGUUAACUAAUUUGUGUGAUUGUAUGGCUUUACAGCCUUGCUUAUUUGCAUGAAGCCAUUGAACCAAAGGUUGUUCACCGUGAUAUAAAAUCAAGUAACAUCUUAAUCGAUGAAGAAUAUAAUGGAAAGGUAUCCGACUUUGGACUGGCUAAGCUCCUUGGUUCCGGCAAAAGCCAUGUUACUACUAGAGUGAUGGGAACAUUUGGGUAUGCUGGCUUUCCCUUGAUGUUUGUGCUAAGUUGCAUCUUAUAAUUAAAGAGGCUCUUAGUAUUUAGUACUUAUCUAAAAGACAAUCAAUUUCUAAGCAUGCAGAAGUUUUAUAUCUGUUUACUGCAGGUAUGUGGCUCCUGAAUAUGCUAAUACUGGACUUCUGAAUGAGAAGAGUGAUGUUUACAGUUUUGGAGUAUUGUUAUUGGAAACCGUUACUGGCAGGGAUCCUGUUGAUCAUGGCAGGCCUUCAAAUGAGGUACGUCUUUCAAACUCUGGAUGCAAGGAUAACAGCUGAAUUGUUCAUGUCCUUUCUACUGGUGUGGUAACUUCUGAACUAGGGAACUACUUGUAUUUGUAUAUACGUAGGUGUCCCCAGUGGAAUAUAAGGCCAAUGGAUCAGCUUCAUAACCGGCAAACUGACUGCAAUUAUGUAUUCUUACACUUGUGUUACCUAGUUCUGCUAUGCUUAACUGUCCCAUUUGACAGGUGAAUCUUGUGGAGUGGCUCAAAUUGAUGGUUGGAAAUAGGAGAACAGAGGAAGUGGUGGAUCCAAAUCUUGAUCUUAAACCACCUACACGGGCUCUUAAGCGUGCUCUGUUAGUUGCUCUGAAAUGUCUUGAUCCUGACUCUGACAAAAGGCCCAACAUGGGUCAGGUUGUUCGAAUGCUAGAAGCGGAUGAAGUCAGUUUUAACCCACAAAUCUUUUUAUUAUUCUUUUUAUUCAUGUUUCGUGGCAGAAUGAAAUACUGAUGCUUACUUAUUUUCUUCCCCAAAAAGGACCGGAAAAGCCGACGGAAUCGUGCAGCAAGCAUGGAGAUCGAGUCUUUGAAGGAGAGUAACGGUUCAAGUGAUCUAGAAAAUAAAGUAGCUGGAUCAGAUAACUGGUCAUGUGAGAGAUUCCAUGCAUAAGUAAUGGUCAUCAGAUGGCGUGCAUCAGCAAAUCAAUCAUCGGCAUUGUCUCUUUGCUAACGAAGACGAAAAAGUUCCACCAACUGUUAUUCCACAGGCAUGGAUGCAAGAAGAUAGAUGGUGUCAGAGUGAAAGCUUGUCAUUUUGGGUUCUGGAGCUGUGCCCAAUUUCUGCUUCCAGCAUGAAAGGUGAGGAGAUAAAAGAAGAGGCACUCAAUACCCAGUUAGACAUCCUGUACAGAUUAUCCAUGUACAAUUUCAAGUUCUCUCGCGUCGUUAUCUAUAAUUUUUUGGUUAAUUUUUCCCACUGUUCCUGACUCUUUGCUGAUCUUGCAUUUAUUUUGUCUCUGAUAAAAGCAUGAUCAUAAUUUCUUUAUAUUUUGGCUGAAGUUGCUUUUUCUUUAUAGGUGUAGAGUAGUGCCUUGCUCUAUUAUGAUGUCUCCAUCUGAUUAGUGAAUAUAUUCCUGGCUUUAUCAGAAAUAAGUCUGAAUUUGAUCAGAACAGUGAAUGAUGUUAGACUUCAUAUAGUCAUUAAGCUUGUUGAAGAAGCAUUAAUGAUGAAGAAUGACUGUCACAUAGAAACAUAGCAAUAUGUCUACUGAACCAACUACAUGGAAUUGCAUCUUCACUUCAAAUUGUAAAUACUUACUGUUUCAGCAACAAAAGACUGUUCCAUCUCUUUUUACUGUUUAUGCUAAAUGCUGAAAGAUACAACUAUUCACUUAAUUAUACCCUCAUAAUAUUUCUGGGGUAGAGGUUGCAUAGCAUGGUGGUGUCAGCAGACAUACAUGGAAAGCCCUUAAAACAUGGAAUUGACAGCAAAAGUAACAGUUGAUAAUAUGUUGUGCCAAACCUCUAUCCUCAAGACUCAGAUGACAUCUUUUCUUGAGACUUUAGAGAAUGAGAAGAGGUUGAAGACAUCCCAUGAAUGUACAGCAUUCCACUGGAGAUGGAAGAAGAACAGAGCACAGAGUACCAAAUUAUAGCAGAAACAAAGAUGAUGAAUUAGAGCAUUGCUUCCUUUGAUAACAUCCACAAACCUUUUUUACCUUGAAAUUUGUGUCAGGCUUCUGAAAAAGAAGAAGUUCUCUUUUUUAUUAUCCAAAGCUCAAUACAUUGAUAUCAAUUCUUUUCUUCAAAAUGCACAUAAGCCCUUCAAAAGUUUGUGGUUUUUUGUCAGAAUAUAAUAUUUAUGUUGUUAACUAUAUAUGAGAUAUUAAUAAAAUGUAUCUAGCAAAGUCAUUACCUCCACAUCUUUAACCUUGACUUGAAAACAUAAUGCUUGAUCCCAAAUUGGAUCCUUGAGACUCAAUUUAGAUCAUCCAUCAAUACCAAGUGACCAAUACAUAAACAAAUACCAUCAAUACCAAGUCAAAGUGACAUAAUUAAAAGUAUUAAUUCUCAAAUAGCAUAUACAAAACUUGAUUAAGGAGAAAGUUAGGUUAAGCCAAUGAUAACAUCAACCAAAAUAGUAGUAGGAGAUUGCUAUUGACAUUUUUUUUUUGUUUUUACUAUUAGCGAUCAUAAAAUAUAAUUUUAGUAAAUACAACACCUCAAUUGUCAAUUAUUAUUAUUUUAGAUAAUUUAUUUCAUCUAUCGAUCAAUCAGACAUCCAAACUCUAAAAAGAGAAUGGAAGGGAAAGAAAAAUUGAUGUGAAAAAGAGUAGAAACAGUUGAAGUGAUAAGUUAAGAUAUUUACAUCCGAUUCAUAGAUGUGUUUCUUAGAAAUAUUAAAAGUUCGAUUGUAAAAAGAAAAAAAAUUGCUCAGCCUCCUAAACUAAAGAUGCUUUACACAGUGUCUGCGGGCGAUCCCACCUGAUCUAUCAUCCAUCUCCAGAUAACAAAUGGCAUGCUUUGAUUGGUGAACGGAGGAACAACCGGAAGACGUAGGAUAUUGAGAGAGAGAGAGAGAGAGACCAAAUGAAGCCUGACGACCGAGGAGUUGUCACACAUCUGGUUGAGUUGUGUGCAGGACUGAGCCAAUGAGAAGAUGGACGAAGAUAUGCAUGAGAUAAGCGUUCGUAUCUCUUCUAAUCUCCCCCGUGCUAUUUAAACGUCUCUCCGCUCUCCAUCCCCUCACCACCAGCAGCUCAAGUUCACUCGGCAGGCCCCACCUCAAGAACUCCUCCAUGGCUGCAACAAUGGCCCUCUCCUCCCCCUCCUUCGCCGGCAAGGCCGUGAAGCUCGCCCCUUCCGCCUCCGGCGUCCUCGGCCAGGGCAGGGUCACCAUGCGCAAGGCAGGCGGCAAGCCGGCUGCCUCCUCCGGCAGCCCAUGGUACGGCCCCGACCGCGUCAAGUACUUGGGCCCCUUAUCCGGCGAGCCCCCAUCCUACCUGACCGGCGAGUUCCCAGGCGACUACGGGUGGGACACCGCUGGCCUCUCGGCCGAUCCCGAGACCUUCGCCAAGAACCGGGAGUUGGAGGUGAUCCACUGCCGGUGGGCCAUGCUGGGCGCGCUGGGGUGCGUCUUCCCGGAGCUGCUGGCCCGCAACGGGGUCAAGUUCGGGGAAGCCGUCUGGUUCAAGGCGGGGGCGCAGAUCUUUAGCGAGGGGGGGCUGGACUACCUGGGCAACCCGAGCUUGAUCCACGCGCAGAGCAUCCUGGCCAUCUGGGCCUGCCAGGUGAUCCUGAUGGGCGCCGUCGAGGGGUACCGCAUCGCCGGGGGGCCGUUGGGGGAGGUGACCGACCCGCUGUACCCGGGCGGCAGCUUCGACCCGCUCGGCCUCGCCGACGACCCGGAGGCGUUCGCGGAGCUGAAGGUGAAGGAGAUCAAGAACGGGAGGCUGGCCAUGUUCUCCAUGUUUGGGUUCUUCGUGCAGGCCAUCGUGACCGGGAAGGGGCCGCUGGAGAACCUGGCCGACCACCUGGCCGACCCCGUCAACAACAACGCCUGGGCCUACGCCACCAACUUCGUGCCCGGCAAGUGAGAGCAGGCGCUACGUGUGGUCAGUCUGGUGCACCGCAUUGAGUGUGUGCAUGGAGCCUUUCUCAUCUCUUUCUCUUGUGCUGUGU